ACUCUCCAGGGGCUGGAAGGGGUCCCAGAACAGCCCUGCUCAGCUGGGAAAUGUCAGGGUGAGGAGCACAGGGCUCUGGUGGGAUGGCCGGAGUAGCUCUGGAAAAGGAGAUGAUUGAACUGACUGCUGCAGCCUGUUCUCUGCCUCACAACAGCCUCUCCUCUCCAGCUUGCUCCAAGCAGCCUGAUUUCUGAGAUCCUACUGAGAGCUGGUUCCUUGGAAAUAAGAACUACACCUGACAGCCCUGGACUUUAUUGAAGCUGUGCAUAUUCUGGCCAAGUACAGUUACGGGAUGUCCAGGAAGGAAUCCAGCCUGGCUUUCAGAUUCCAGAUUUGAGUCUGUAGUCCGAGCAAUAAAUUUUAAAAAAAGAAAAAGAUGAAACUGAACUGAGCAUACACUAUCAUUUCCUAUGGAUUCCCAGGCCAUUAUGAAACCCCACCAGGCCAGCUUCCCAGUGUCCAACUGGAAGUGCACUGGGAAAAAGCAGUCACUGACAGGAGUUUGGAGCUGAAACAAGGACUCUGUGCACAAUGGGCCCUGUGGGAUCAGGUGCUGUGCAGCCCCAGCUUUGUGUCUUCCACCACCAUGGCUGGGAAGUGCCAAGCAAGAAAGCAUAGCAGAUCCUAAAAUUCAGGUGCCUGGUAAGAAUCCUCCUGGUAAGAAUCCUCCUGGUAAGAAUCCUUCUGGUAAGAAUCCUCCAGCUGUCUGGAAGCUGCCUGCAUUGUAACACAACCGCGUGAACACCUUGGUGAGGGUACCCAGCUGACAAGACACUGCGAGUGAGGCAGACUUGUGAGUGUCAUCUUACCAAAAACCAGCCUGAGCAAGACAAAACAUGCUACUCAUUAAGUAACCCCCUAUGAUCUUCUGAGUUCCAAAACCUCUUCAAGUCUGAGGAAUUCCAGUUAGGAGGAGGGUUUGAGUUAGAAGGAAUCCUGUGGUUUGACAGCAGAAGGAAGGAGGGCUGGAAGUCCCCAGGCAGGGCUGUACUGCACAGGCAGUGGCUGGAGAUGCUGCUGCAGACACGGUGUCAAUGUGCCUGUGGACAGCUCUCUGGGAAAAGUUUCCUUGCAAAUUCUAAAUCACCACAAAUAACUUGUGUGAGUGAGUUUCAGAAGGUGUGCAGCCUCCUGUGAGUGGCUGUAUGUGUCACAGGUGCCUGGUGAGGAUCCUCUCUGUCACACUCCAGGCGAGCCUGCAGGGACCAGGACAGCCUCAGCUGCUCCAAUCACAGCCACUGCUUCAUCUGAUGGGCACCAGGCACUUCCAGUAUUCUGUGGGUACCCAUGAAAUUAGGUGUUUGGAAAAAUCUGACAAUAUGAGAGUAUACUGGAACAUUUCUUGGAUCAGGCUGCUGCAUUACUCAUGCAUCAUUAAUUCUCCAAAUAUUAAGGGAACAUUUCCUAAUACUGGGCCGUAGUCCGUUAAAGAGACACAGAGCAGCUUGCUGAGGUUAAACCACGGUGUCAGACAUGGCCUUGGCCAGGCAGCUCCAGGGGAGAAGGGAAGGGAGAGCCCCAGGUGGGACUGCUGCUGCAGGAAGCCUGGCUAUGCACACAGGUUCCCACUUCACACUGCAGGCUGUAUACGUGCACAUUUUACCAGCCCCCACUGCAACAUCUCAUUGUUGGUGCUCACAUUGCCUCACUCUCAGGCAGGAUCCUCUGUUGUCACAGCAGACCAAUUUAAUGCUCUUUUUGGCAUUCCAUCUAUAACUAAAACCAGUGUUAGCUUUGCCCGAGUUUGUGGAAAAUGCAGCACUGAUGGCAUUGGCACUGCAGAGUCACUGACUCUGGUUUUUAGUUCCUGCCACUCUGGUGAGAUUCUCCUCUUUUCCGGGCUUAGAGCUGCCCUGGCACUUUCAAUCCAUUUGUUACUGUCAUGCCAGAAGCACAAACAAAAUGGCAAGUAAGCCUCAUUUCCUCUCUUCUCUAUGUUGGUCCAGAAUGAUGCUUCCCACUGCUUUACUGCUCAUGUCCCAGUUCCUGUGAAACUGAUAGCUGGGCACAACACUUCAGAACUGAGAGAAGCUGGGAGCAUGUCAGUAACCAGCUGCUUUAUUAAGUUAUUUUUCUGGAUGGGGAAGUUCUCCCCUGCCUUUUAAGGUCAUCUAUUAAGAUGGAGUGUGGAAUUGGUAAAUGACAGAAGAAGAGACCUCAGGGAGAGGCUGCUCUGAGCUCAGCAUGUGUUCCCACUGCCAGAACUGUGUCAUACUUUGUUGCAUAUAGGUAAUAUUUUAUAAAAGAAAAGCCUUAUAAAAUCAGGUCUUACUCUACUGAAUUACCAGGUAGCCUGUGAAUUUCCAUAAGAAAGAAUCAGGGGAAUAAAAAGCAGUUAGCACAACAAACUAUUCUGUCAGCAUCUGUAAAAAACAAGAAAUCUGUCCCAUGUGAAUCAGUAAACAAAAUAUGCAAACUAUCCGAGAAUAGAGAAGUUUGAUAAACAUAUAAAAUGCCAUUUACUAACCACUAAAUUGAGUAGCAAAGAAGUUAUAAACCAAUUAGAGUUAUGUAUGAGAUCUUGAAAACUGUAUAAAAUAGGUUGUAACAUUUAAGAUUGGCUUUUUCUACAUGAAAAAACUGAAUCCCAUCUGCUUACUAUUACAAUAAUAUUCCAUGGCUUUCUCCAGUUUUUAGAUGCUUUGUAGGUAGAUACGUUUUAAUUACAGCCCUAGAUGGACAUGGAAAGUAACAGAAAUGGCAAGGGCCAUGUAUGCAAUGAGGGGAAAUGAUCUGAAGAUGGCUUGCAGUGACAAGGAGGUUGCAGGUCUGCAGCAUGUGGGACCUGCCAGGAGCUGCCUGUCUUCCCACAGGGCCCUAAGAAAAGUGGAGAGUUCUGCCUAGGAUGGAAGCAGUGAUAUGUGCAAACGCAGCCAUGCCCAAGAGGAGCUGCUCACAACUCUGCUUGGUCUCACUGAGCUAAGUGAAGUGAGUCUCUGAGCAUUCCCCAGGUCCCACGGGACUGCAGGCCCUGGUCAACUCGAGCACCCUGAGCUGGUGCAGCUUCUCAUGUGGGCCAUGCAGAAGCAGGAGGGAACAGGGAGUAGGACAGGUUGGAUAAGCCAGGUAAUCCCUGGGCCCCAGGGACAUUCCUUCUGCAGCAGAGUGAAUUUUGCUAUAAAAACUUACCAUCUUUAUUUGCCCUUGCAUAUAGAAGACUUUAGUUUGGAGGUGCUUUUUUCUUUUUUUUAAAAAUUUAAAAUAUAUUUUAGUGGAAUUACUUAUUCCAGAUAUCCCUGCUGGCUAUAUGCAGAAAUCUGAAAGGAAAGUAUCUCUGCUUUUGGGAGCUGAUGACUCUUUGUCACGGCACCAACUUCUUGAAGCACAACCGGUUUUCUAUUUAAUCCUUCUCAUGUCUUAUUUCUCGUUAUGUUGCAAUCUUGUUUUUUAACGAAAAUGAUGCUCUUGUGUAUCAUGUUCAAAGCUGACUUUAAAUCAGAAGAUAAUUUCAGUGCUUACCAGAUGGAAUUUGGGAGGCACAAUGAGGGCAGGUGAAAACGUAGAAAGCCCCAGUGGCAGGGGGUUUGUGGAGUUUUUGAACCAACUCUCCAUCACUACAACCUGCUGCACAGUUAAAGCUUGUCAGCAGCAAUGGAACUUCAGAAAGAUAAAGUGAGAGACUCCAGUGGGAAAUCCGAAGGUGGGGGAAAAGGCUGUUCAGCACCACUUGAUGAGCCAGGAAAUUCAGUUACUGCAGUUCUCAACAAUUUUUCUCAUUUCUGCCAUGUCAGGUGAGUAUAAAUGCUUCCACGUUGUUACCACCACAGGGAUUUGCUGUGUAGAAAGAAGAAAUCUGUGACAGCAGCAGAGUGCAGAGUGCAGGUGGUGCAGGGUGGUGCUGGAAGGGUCCUGCCUCCAGAUCUGUCAUCACCCAGGCUGCAGGACAGGUGAGAGGAGAAAUACAAAUAGCCAUGGAAGUAGUAAAGUAAACAAUUUAUAUGGAAGGUCAAAGCUGCUUUAUUGUUUUUAUCAGCCAGAUUAGGGUGAAAAAUGAGACAUGCUUGGAGUGUUCCUGCAAAUGUUGCACAGCUCUGGGGCUGUGAACUACACACAACACCCAGGCCAUCAAGCCUGCUGGAAUUCAGGGAGAGUCUGGAGAAUGCUCUCAGGCUUGUGGUAUGAAUCUUGGGGGUCCUGUGGAGGGCCAGGAGUUGGACUUGACAUUCUUUGUGUGUCCCUUCCAGCUCAGGACACUUUAUGACUCUCAGACUUGGUAAGUGGUGAAUUACCCAUGUAUUUCCUGGGCUUGUGGGCUCAGCUUGGAGUGUUAAAUGGUUGUGGCAGAACUUCCUUAGCACAGAGAGCUGCUUUGUUUCCUCAGUAGCUUUUCCAAGCAGCACUUCUUCCUUUCUCACCUUCUCUCUGCAGGCUCUGAGGCUGCUGAAUGUAUCUAAGCACACAGUUUUUUAUUGUGUCCCAGGAGUUGGCCUAGUUAUUAAAUGAUGUUAUGUUUCUAUAGCUCUUUUUCCUUCAGGGAGGAGGUAAAAUAUUUGCUAUUCUGUCACUAUCAGAGGCAUGAUCCUAUGGAACUCACCAAGGGGAUUAGGGAACCUGCAGAGACUUCAAGGGAAAACUGUCAUGGAGCUUAAAUCAGAGCUGGAGGUGGCCAUGGGACCUACAGAAUAACUGCUCUGCGGGUUGCCCUGGACUCCAGGGAAGCAUCUGUUGCACCUCAGUGUCUCCUGGGACAGUGAGCAGCACACGUGGUGCCCGUGUUAAGUGCCUGUGGAGGCUGCUCCUCCCUCCCCUCUGGACUUUACCCCUUGCUCGAGCAGGAUGUGAUCUCAUCCAGCAGGAGGGAUGUUUGUUUCUGUGGGCCUCACCGGACCUGAGACAACCCACCCAGAACAUGAAAACCUGGAGGCCACGAGUCACCUUUAGGAAACACUUGAGCUGUCUUCAAUGCCCUCCCUCUCCAAAGCCUCUGCUUGGCACAGAGGUGCCACAUCUGACCUGAAAAGAGCAAAACGAAGGUGAUCAUCCUUGGGAACCUUGGAACCUCCUUGGGAUCAGUGAUCUGCCAAUCAGGUUAUUAUCCAUGAUGUGGAUAAUUCUGAAUAUCAACACAGCUCACCUAACACAACACCACCCCUGCCCCGCCCCCGCAGAUAAGAAGUGCCAGCAGGGGUGAAGGAUAAAUAAGCGUGUCAUUAAGCUAAUGAGACCCAUAUGCUUGUGCAGUCAAAGAAAAGUGAACUAAAUGCAUGCAAGAGCCAAACAGCAGAUGAAUGAACCACAACAAACGUCCUGAAAUCAUGUUUAAAAUGCAAAUGUUGAUAUUUAUCACAUUUUUCUCCUGUCUGUAAAUCACAUCUCAAGAAGGUGUCUGGUAGAAGAAAACGUAUUUUGCCUUUGAGCUCAGAUGCAAAUGAAGCAAACCCAACUUGAGAGAAUACUUGGAGGCUGCCAUGAUUCCUGGAGACCACAGACACUUGGGAGUCACAAACCAGACUUGCCAUCAUGAUGGAUGCUGAGUGUGAAAGUCAUUUAUAUGUAAAUCUGCACAAAUUAAUCAGAGAAGGUUUUUCUCCUAAAAAUGCAAACCACACAUUUUUCUCCUGGGAUCAAACUGCAAAUGUUGGGUUUGGGGAAUCCAGAAAUAGCUGCAAUCAGAAAGCACUUCAGUACCAGGGAAAUUGUCCUCUUUCUUGUUUCCAAUGUUACUUGUACAGAAGACAAAAAAGCAAAGAGAAACAAACCACCAGCAUUAAUGAGCUUGCUAUUAUUUUUCAGUAAAGGUGUAACUCGGAGAGAAUUUUCACUCCUUUGCGAAAUGCACUUGCUCUCUAUUAGUGCUGGAACUGACAUUUAUUGUGUUGCAGGUCUGCAAGAUCAGCCCACUUUUCUCCACCAUAAAUUGGGCAAAUUAUGUCUUGUACAUAGUGCUGGCAGAGGGUUACAAGGUUCAGGCUCCCCUCCUGAGAAAAUGUGCCAAAAUCCCUCUCCUUGCCUUUGAAUGUGCCACUUUGAGUGCAUAGAGCUCCCAGCUGAGUUGGUGUGGAGUGGAGCAGCCACUCUGCCUCUGAGAGGUUUCAUUACACCAGACAUGGUUGUGAUGGCACAGACUGCUGCUGCUUGUGAUUAAGAUUUGAAUUGUGAAUUUGGGGCAAAUAGGCUUUAAGGUCUCUUCCAACCCCAAACGUUCUGUGGUUCUGUGAUUCUACAAUAUGUCAUAUGCCUGGGUUAUGGGAGCAAGCUGAGGCUGCUAAAUAAUGUUUGGCUUAAGGACAGUCAGAUGUGUUUUCUUAUCUGCUUUACUUCUCGUACAUAUGUAUUUUUGCCUUGUGACGAUACUCUUACUUUUCUCACUACCCUUUCAGGGAACAGGAAGAAAAUAGACACCCUUUUACCUUGCCUUCCUUUUGGACUAUCUUCCUGAAAAAUGCUGUGAAUGCCCAUCAGAUCGAGUUCAACUGCCAGUGUCCUCGCUCAGUGCUGGAGGGCUGAGCUGGGCAGCAGGUAUGGACACACUGUCAGAAACAGACUCUACACCAGCACCCACAGCAGCAAGAGAUGGAAAUGUCUGGAAAAGACAUUUGUGGGUUUCAGCCGAGCCGAUUUUCACAAAACAGAGCUUCAGGCUGGUAGCCCAGAGUUGACAGACUUCCUGCAUGUUGAAGUGGGAAGGUAGAGCUUUAAUUCUAUGAAAUUAUGAAAAAUGAACCCAAAAUGGAGAAAUUGAGUGUAGAAAGAGCUGUGCUGGUUAGCACCAGCUAGGGACUUCCUUUCCAGCUCCUCUGAAUGAUUACACAAGUUGUUGUGGUUUGUGUUUGUUUUGUUUCUAUGCCUGCUGUUCUGGGAUUUGACCACAUUGCAACAUCUCCAGCUUGGUGCCUGCUGCAAAGGGCUCCUUGAGGUGCACAGUGCUCCUUUAAUCACUGAAAUAUGACCCAGGACGUGGGAUUAGGGACGGUGCUCCAAGUGUGACCUCAGUGUUGCUUAUCAGACACUUCUCCAGCCAAACCUGGCAAUGUCUCGUGCUGGCAUUGGCUGCCGGGCGAUUCCGAGCCACUAAUGACAACUCCCUGACCUCACUUCUUAUGGUAAAGGCAUUAAUGGAUCACAACAAUUGCUCAUAUCUCACUUAGCAGGUGAAAGGAAAUUCCUCUCCUCCAAAUUAAGUGAAUUAAGAUGGGAGUGACAUUCCUGCUUCACGACGAUUAUAGCAAAGGCUUUUUUAUGGUUCAGGAUAGAGGAGAAUGGUUGCAUCUUCCCAUUUUUUCUCAUGCACCUGAAACAUUCGGUUUGGGAGCUCAUAAUAAUCAACCUUAUGAAGUGUACCAUAUGUUUUAGUCUUUUUAAAAUUACUGUAGCCUUUACAGCCCCAAAUAAAUGUCAUACUUGGUGCUCUGUUUUACAAUUAAACCUCUCCUUUGGGAAGAUCCUAAAAUCUUUUUCUCUCAUUGUCUGUGAAGUGUAAAGGAGAACUGCAAAUUUACAUUAC